rnacentral:rRNA from 1 species
GAACUGAAGAGUUUGAUCCUGGCUCAGAUUGAACGCUGGCGGCAUGCUUUACACAUGCAAGUCGAACG